rnacentral:lncRNA from 1 species
UAUUACGUCGUGAAGUUGCUUCUGGUCCCCCCUCACUUCGAUUUCGGCCGUAAAUCUUGUUUUUCCUAGCUCUAUAUUACGUUUAAUCAUCGAAGGUAUGUGUUUUAAGUUCAUUAAUCUUUGAUUUCCUUUGAUUUUUGGUAACUAGAAGUUAGGGUUUGUUCUUGAAGCAUUAUUGCCAAAAUUGGGUCAAUUUUCAAAUGAAAUUAUUGUUGCAUGCAUGUUUAAAAGCCUUAGGAUAGUAGCCUAAACAAACGCCAAACAUGGAUUUGAGUUUGAUUUGCCCUGAAAAUGACCGAUAAACAGAUUGAGUUUGCCUCAACUUCAGAACGUGGUUUUUUCUAGUUUCUUGUUUUGUUUUAAUUGCUUAAUUUGUUUUAUGUUUGUGGUGUUGCUUGUUAAUUUUUUUAGGUGCCAUGAGACCAAGACGUGCAUUUCCUGAAGAACAAGAACAUAUUGAUGUUCGUAGUGUACAUCCACUAUAUUGAUUCCCACAAAAUAUUUGGCAAUCCAUGCUCAACAACUAUUCAAAUAAACUGGGAUAGUUAUAUAAUUAGGAGUUCAUGUUAGCACUCAUGAUUGAUUGGUCUUGGCUGAGUGGGGUUGGUAUGGUGACAGAAUUGGAGCGAUAUUGGAAAAAUCUAUAUGUAGGAGAUGGGUUCACUUUCCAAUGCAAUGGGUAGCGUACUCUAUUUUCCAUUCAAGAACUGGUUUAUAGAUAGUUGUCCGUGGAGUUUUUUGCCACAAUUAGUUUUGAAAACAUUCAACUGAACCCUUACAAUUAUAUUAGGAGGUGUCUAUCGAGAAUGUAGCAUGCAUGAGUUUUAUUGGCGAAUGGGAUUGUA